rnacentral:rRNA from 1 species
GUGAGGAAUAUUGGACAAUGGGCGCAAGCCUGAUCCAGCCAUGCCGCGUGCAGGAAGACGCAUCUAUGGUGUGUAAACUGCUUUUGUACGGGAAGAAACACUCCCUCGUGAGGAGCUUGACGGUACCGUAAGAAUAAGGAUCGGCUAACUCCGUGCCAGCAGCCGCGGUAAUACGGAGGAUCCAAGCGUUAUCCGGAAUCAUUGGGUUUAAAGGGUCCGUAGGCGGUUUAAUAAGUCAGUGGUGAAAGCCCAUCGCUCAACGAUGGAACGGCCAUUGAUACUGUUAGACUUGAAUUACAAGGAAGUAACUAGAAUAUGUAGUGUAGCGGUGAAAUGCUUAGAUAUUACAUGGAAUACCAAUUGCGAAGGCAGGUUACUACUUGUGGAUUGACGCUGAUGGACGAAAGCGUGGGGAGCGAACAGGAUUAGAUAACCGGGUAGUCC